AUGCCAUUUUUAUCACAGAUGUAGACUGAUGCACAUUCAGCCACAAUCAAGAUACAGAACUGUGCCAUCACAACAAAGUUCUCCCUGAUGCUGUCCCUUUAAAGUCACACCCAGUGCUCCCCCAUGACCCCACCCGUAACUAACCCCUGGCAACCGUUACUCUGGUCUCCAGUUCUACAAUUUUGUAAUAGUGAGCAUUUUACAUAAAUGGAAUUAUACAAUAUGUGACCUAUUGAGAAUGGCUUUUUUUUCCCUUCAAUGUAGUGCCCUCGAGAUCCAUCCAAGUUGUGCCAGGAGCAGGGAGGAUCUCUGCCCUCCCUGGUGCAGGUGCAACCACCAGAUCCACAGGUGCAGACCUGGGCCUCUGCUCCACCAAGCCGGCAGGAGCCAAGGACAAGCAGGAACCCCACCCCUUCUGAGUUGGCAGGGCAGGAGCUCCCUGGGUGCAGCUGCAGCCACCUUCCCAGGUCCAAAAAAGCCCCAGGCUCAGCCAGAGCAGGGCAGAGGACAGAUGACGGAGGACAGAUGGCCUGCUGCAGCGAGGAACUACUCUCUCUUCUGAGAGCUUCAGAGACCUGCAGAGACAUAGGGACUACCAGCUGCAGAGAGAAGUAACUUUCUCGAGGGCCUCCUUUCUGGUUCUUCUGAGCUAUGAAGGGGCCCAGAUUUAAGAGCUGUUCUUGACACCCUAAAUGUGCUAAGACAAGUCAUUAAGGUGGUCCUGCCAGGACACAGCCAUCUAAAGCAGCAAUCUACUUCUUGCCAGAAAAUCUCGUGCCUCUGCAGAGCCUUUUCCAGAAUGAACCACACCAUGCUGAGGAAAGGAGAAAGAGACCACCUACUGCAUUUCUGUCACUCGCUGAAAAGGACACUCUGUCAGAGAAUCUUCUAGCAAACUUCAAAGGGCAAAAUCACCCCUUGUUACUGAUAAAGCCCAGAGAGCUUCAGCAGCUAACAUUCCCUGGACAGGGCACAGCAAGGAUUUGAACCUAGGUCAGUCUGGCCAGAACACACACAAGCUUUCCUUAACUCAGUGUGCUAUCUCCCCACGACUAGGUCACUACUGCUUUAUAAUCACCUUUGUAGCCACCAGUGGAUUUUGCUCAUCAGUAUUUUUCAGGCAAUUGAUACUUUAGAUAUUCAGCUGCAAGAUGUAUGCAGUUUUCAUUGACAUCUUUUGGAGAAACUGACAAACCUGGACUUGACUUAAUGCCUUUGGAACCUUCCAAGAUGUUAUAUAACUCUAGAUAGAAGGCUGGGCCUCCAUGAUAUCAGGAAUGUUGCAUUCUUAUUUCCCCAUAGAUAAACCCAUUUGUCCACAAAGUCAAGGAGUCAGGCAGAGGCCCUUGCCAUGGGGCUUUUUAGGAUAAAGCAACAAGCCUGGACUUUGCUCUACAACAGGGUUUUGCAUAGGGAGUGGUAUGACCAGAUCCCUCAAGAAAGAAAGCUUAGAGACCAGGCCAGAGUCCACUGCAGUAGCCCAGUCAAGAGAGGAUGGUGACUUGGACUUUUAGUAGAGCCAGUUAGAAUGAAAGAAAUUGACACAUUCAGAAAUGGUUUUAGAGAUAGAGUCAAACUGGACCUGAUAAAGAACUAGAGAAGCGGAGUGAGGAUAAAGAGAAGAGCCAUGACUGACUCGAAAGGUUUUGUCUUGAAAAACUUGAGAACUCAAGACAGAGUGAAAUAAAAUCACAUGUGGGAAAAA